rnacentral:rRNA from 1 species
UACAUGGGGGUGCAAACGUUGCUCGGAAUUAUUGGGCGUAAAGCGCACGUAGGCGGUUCGUUAAGUCGGAUGUGAAAGCCCUCGGCUCAACUGAGGAAGUGCACCCGAAACUGGCGAGCUUGAGUACGAAAAGAGGAUCGCGGAAUUCCCGGUGUAGAGGUGAAAUUCGUAGAUAUUCGCAAGAACACCAGUGGCGAAGGCGGCUCACUGGCCCGGUACUGACGCUGAGGUGCGAAAGCGUGGGGAGCAAACAGGG